AUUCGACGAGGAGGGGAGAGGGGCGGUGUAACGAAGCUUGGUUCGGUCGUUUGCGGGGAUAGAUGCUCGAGAGAAAAGCUAAAAUGCAAUAUAAAAGUUCUCAUCGCGGAGUUUAGAUUCGCUUUUUAGAUUGUAGUUUAAGUAGUUGUCUCUCGGAGAAACCUGCUCUCUGAUAAGGAUAUUCGAUACUGUUAUGGGACGAGUGGGAAGGGAGUACAUAUAUCGAGUAAUUUUCCAAAAAUGUAUCGUCUUGUUUUGCGAUGAUCCCAUGUCGAUUUAUCGAUAGAAACCGUACCGCGCUACGAUUUGUCAUCUCGACGCAUGAUCACUCCAAGUAAAUUUUUAUCCGAGUUGUAUAACUUUUAACUUUUCCAACUUUUAUUGCCUCUUUUCUCCUUCGAUAUACGCUGUAUACUAUCGAACAGUAUUAAAAGAGAUAAUAAUAUAUCGUGCGAUCAAUAAGUGGAUCAAUAAUACGAUUAAACUGGCGUUCCAUUAGCAACGGACAAAUAGAUUGAAAAGUUGGUCAGGGUGGAGAGAAAUAGAACGGGUACGGAAUAUGACAAUUGUAACGAGAGAAAUAAUGGUAAACGGUAGUGAAAGGGAUCAAGAAUGAAGGAAGAGAAAUUCCCACCGGUGACCUUAAUCUAGGAAAUGGUCACUAAGAGGUGUCCUCUACGCGAGAGUAAGCAAAGCGAAACACGGACAAACGACCUGAGAGACCGUUUGGUUUCGUGCAAAGAAGAAGAAGAAGAAGAAAAAGAAGAAGAAAGAAGAAGAAACCGAGGCAGAGGAAAAGAAGGGGAAAGGGAAGAGGAACGACGCGGAAACGAUGAGUCAGGCGCGCGUGCGCUUCGUCAGGGGGAGGAGGGGGGGAGGGCACGGAGCUUUUCCGAAAUAGGGUCGUGUAAAUUCAGAAGCAGGCCCGGUAAUUCCGAGAAACGGCGCCAGUUUGCAUUAAGCCAACCGUUGUCUCGCGGAUCGGUUAUGAAACGGACGGUUAUGCGCCGCCCGCCGGAUUUCCUUACACACAGGCGGUUGCGAAUUAAAAUCUAGUUUGCCACGAACGCUCCUUUCGAAUAUUUUUCGUGGUUGCCUAUACGAAAAGAAAAAAAAAAGGCACAGAUUAUCUUUGAGAGAAGUGGUUAUCGAUUCGAUUAAAUAAUUGUUAAUAAUUUGUCUUAUACAGCCCUAAAAAUAAAGAAGAAACGGGUUAAAACAAAUAUAUCGAAUCCGUAUAAAAUAGAUCAAAUAUAUAUAUACCAAAUUCAUCUCCAUUUUGGUUGGCAAAAGUUAUUAUUAUUAUCGCGAAGAGAGGGGAUAACGGAUGGUUGGCUAGGUCAACGCAACAGGGAGUCGUAAUCUGUCGUUAUUCUCGAAAGUUGGCCCAUCUUCCUUCCGGCUUACGUAAUUUAAAAAAAAAAAAAAAAAAAAAAGAGUAAAUGGGUCGUCAUCCAACAGGUUCUCGAUCUUCGUUCGACGAAAAUGACGUCGAAACGAGGAUACACACCGAGGGAAACUCGGUCAACGACUUAACCGGAUUUAAGGCCGGGAAAACUUUGGGAAAAUUGACGAGGGGGGAAGAGGAGAGGGAGUCGCCUUGCGACUUUGUCCUCCUCGACGUUGUCGUCGUUGGCAGGCAUCGGGCGGUGCCCCUUUCGGGGCAAAACAUCCUCGAAGGGAGUUCUCUUACCUCCUUGUCGGGAGCUGAAGGCACCGGUGCUUCCAGCGAUGAUUAGAAGCAGCAGCGGGCUUAAUAAAGCUCUCGAGGAAGGCAGCAUCUUUCCUGUGCUCCUACCGGGCGCCUGCGCGACACAGGGUCCUUUAACCGGCUUCCCUCAUCACAGCCUCCCUGAAAAAAAGGAAGAAAAAAAGGAUGAGAAACGUUGUCGUCGAGUGACUCGUUAAGAUCAGAUGUAUCUGGAAAUGAAACGUGGUGGAUAAACGGUUUGGAAAUAGUUGGAUAAAAUCGUAUACUUUGUAAAAGUUGUAUCUAUCUUUUUCUUCUUUUUUUUCGUUCGUAUUAUUUUCGAGUUAUCAGAUUCUACUUAAAAGUUAUGUCUAUUUUUUUGAAAUUGAAAAUUAAACUAUAUAUAGUAAACUACA